rnacentral:rRNA from 1 species
UUCCAGUAAGCUAACUAUGUUACGACUUACCUCUUCUUUGGAAGAGGGCGACGGGCGAUAUGUACACCUAAAUUCAAUUUCGUUCUCAAUUUUUGUUUAAAAACUACUUCCAAAUCCUCUUUCAAUUCUUCUUUAGAAUAAAAUCCUUUAAUUAUUUUAAUGAGUAAUUAGCUUUGUCUUCGCCAUGGCCUUCACCUUGACCUGACUUGAAAAAAAAUAUUGAGGUAGAAGAUGAAAAUUCUGCCUUUAGACGGCGGUAUAAAAGACUGGGGGUGAAGAGAAAAUAAACGGGAAAAAUCGAGAAAAAACAAAUUCCUCUGGUAA